AGAAGGGAUGGAGACAAAAUGAAGAUGGGGCAGGGAACCGGAUCAGUUGCAGGGGAGGGGGAGAGACGGGGCGCAGAUGGUCUGUGUCGGGUCAGUUAGUUAACAAUUAAAAUAUUUAAAACAGUUUAAAAACUCUGGAAGGCCAGGCCAAGCAGGUUUUAAGGGCUCUCCUGAAGGCCAACAAGAAACUCAAGCUACGGAUUUCUGCUGGGAGUGCAUUCCACAGGCCAGGAGCAGCUACAGAGAAGGCCCGCAUCUGAGUCGCCACCAGACAUAUCGGUGGUAACUGGAGACAGACUUCCUCAGAUGACAAUGUGCAGUGGGAUCGUGCAGAAGAAGGCGGUCUCUAAGAGACAAGAUUUGGGACCUAUCAUGCUUUCUAUUUUAAAAUAUUUUUAGUCGUUCUGCUGCUGAAAAUAACAAAUCACUAUAGUCAACUUGAGGAAACUGCUCCUUUUUAAAGUAAGCAUUUCAAAAAUUCCCAGAGAGAAGGGCAUACUGCCAGUCACCAGACUCCUGGAAGCAGCUUGUUUUUUCUUUCACUCACUAUGGCUUCAUGAUACAUUAACUUGUUUAAUUAAACAGAAGUGUACUUAUUAACA